AAUAGAUACCCUGGUAGUCCACGCCGUAAACGUUGGAUACUAGGUGUGGCGUCCCGAUCAACGGAUGCCGUGCCGAAGCUAACGCAUUAAGUAUCCCGCCUGGGGAGUACGGCCGCAAGGCUAAAACUCAAAGGAAUUGACGGGUCCCCGCACAAGCGGCGGAGCAUGCGGCUUAAUUCGAUGCAACCCGAAGAACCUUACCUGGGUUUGAAAUCAUGGGAAAAGCUGUAGAAAUACAGUGUCCGUAAGGGCCCAUGACAGGUGGUGCAUGGCUGUCGUCAGCUCGUGUCGUGAGAUGUUGGGUUAAGUCCCGCAACGAGCGCAACCCUUGUCCUAUGUUGCCAGCGGUUCGGCCGGGGACUCAUAGGAGACUGCCGGGGAUAACUCGGAGGAAGGUGAGGACGACGUCAAGUCAUCAUGCCCCUUAUAUCCAGGGCUGCACGCAUGCUACAAUGGUCGGUACAACGGGCAGCGACCCCGCGAGGGUGAGCGAAUCCCACAAAGCCGGCCUCAGUUCGGAUUGGAGU
rnacentral:rRNA from 1 species